AUGAUAGGAGUCUACAAGCUUGCGGGCAAAGAGUCUCAACCUUGCCAAUGGACACAGAGCCCAUGUGGCCCUUGUAUUGAAGACAGCGUAACCCUCAAGAGGAAAGGAGCUUGGAGCCCUGAAUCAGAGUAGAAGACCAGCUGAACACCAGCCUUGGACAGUUGUGUGAAUGAAAAGCCAAUUUUGAGAUUUGUGUGGUUUACGUAUUAGUUACUGUUAUUAUUAAAGUUUUUCACUGCUUUACUCUCAGUUGUUGGUACUAAUUAUUGUAGUGGCAUGUGACACACUGAUCUCUAGGGACCGUUGGAAGUGUGGAUCAAUGUGCUCCUAUAGUAGGAAGAGAAUCAAUUGAUUUGCACUUAAGGUUGGGGAUCUGGGAAAAGGUAAGUGGCAUAUAUUAGAACUAGACCAAAAGUUUCUAAUCUUUUCCUUACGUGAUAUACACGAUGUGUGGCUCAGGAAUAGUGAUAUACUCCCUUCUUUGUGUUCUAUACUGUCUUUAAUCCCAAUCCUUACCUAUAAUUCUACUUGGGCUUAAUUCAUAGAAUUACGUUAAAUCUGUUUAAUAUAUAUAUAUUAAAAAUCACCCAACCUCACAUUUUCAUACUUUAGCAUCAGUAGAAAAUUACUUGAGACAUACCUCACAGUCAUGCAACAUAUCAGUAUGUCAGGACUAUGAGGUUAGCACUUUCUUACCAAGCAUGGACUUGAAUAGAAAUCUACUCAGGAAAAAGUGGAAGGUCCUUUUAGCUCAUUAGAAAGAAACUUAAUACCAGUGUACAUAAAUUCAGCCUAUAAAAAACUAUACUCUCUAACAUACACUUUACUCUUCUCCAUCACCCAAACCACGCCUUCCUCCACAAAACCUUUGAAACUAUUUUUUUGUUACAUAAUUUUCUCUCAUAAGUCUCUCCCUGUUUUCCUUUUGACCAUAUAGCUCUUACUUAUAAAUGUGACACGGAGUAGACCUGUCAAUCCCCCAGGAGGCUCCAGGCCAAGCAUUUCCCCCAAAGAGGAAGCUUAUCUAUAUAGAAUGUUCCAGACUGCAAAGGAUUCUCCUCUUGAAUUUCAAACUCUAAUACCACUGGUCUCACAUAAUGUUUCUUGUUGGCAGGGAAAUUGAGAUUUUUCUCUGAGGUAAUUUUAGUUAAACCCAUCAGCUGCAUUUUAUGCAACCUCAGGAGAAUACAGAUAACCUGCUGGGAGGGCACUUUCUUUUGGUGACAUUUUCCAGGUUAGCAGUUGUGCUGGGACAAGGAAAGUUGCUCUGAGGGUUGGGCAUGAGGCUUGAGGUAUUUGUGCCCUGGUAAAAAUAGUUUCCAGAGAGAGUCAGAUUGUUCUAAUAGACAGUGAUGGGAUUAUGCUGAUCAGCAAAAGCCAACAGUAUGUGUCUUACAUUGUAUCUUAUG
rnacentral:lncRNA from 1 species